rnacentral:rRNA from 1 species
CUACCCGGGUAUCUAAUCCUGUUUGCUACCCACGCUUUCGAGCCUCAGUGUCAGUAUUAUGCCAGAAGGCUGCCUUCGCCAUCGGUAUUCCUCCAGAUCUCUACGCAUUUCACCGCUACACCUGGAAUUCUACCUUCCUCUCACAUACUCUAGCUCAACAGUAUCAGAUGCAGUUCCCAGGUUAAGCCCGGGGAUUUCACAUCUGACUUAUCGAGCCACCUACGCUCCCUUUACGCCCAGUAAUUCCGAUUAACGCUUGCACCCUCUGUAUUACCGCGGCUGCUGGCAC